AGUCUUUGUACGAGAGUUAUGGUGGAGAAGGAUGAGGAAUUAGUUCACAUUUGUAGAGAUCAACUAAUUUUAUGACUAUUAUGUCGCCUAUAAGUCCAAUUGAGAAGAUGCUAGUUUUGGUUAUCGAAGCUAGAUUAACUCCCAAAAAUAGAGGCAUAGAUGUGAUUAUUUGAAUUUAAAGUUCAUUAAAAAUAAUCAAGCUGAAUUAAUCACAGAUCUAUUUAUGUGUUAAUUCAAUUAUGACGUUCUCAAUGUAACUUACCUAAACCAUGAGUAAGUGAAUG
rnacentral:lncRNA from 1 species